GGCCUGGCUUGUCCCCCCGACCCGGACAGGGCAGGGCCAGCGCGUCCUAUGUCCCGUUCCCUGUUCCUUACACCCAUCACCAAUCAGCUGGGUGUGCAGUAGCACAGGGACUGGAUUGAGACGGGUUGUCACUGAUGGGGAGGGGACAGAAGGACCAGAAAGGGAAGCGUGUCCCAUGCUCUCUGCUUCUCGCUGCCUCGGGGUUCUGGCGCCCUUCUGGAUGUGACUGAGGCCCACACACCGAGGCCUCCUGAUGCAGCAUCCUGGACUGGGCUCGCUUCUGUGGGGCGUUCUCAGAGGAAAAGGGGGUGCUCCUUUCCAUACAAAGCUCACAGUAAUAGUGCAUGAGACCAGCAGCUCCUUGGGGUGCAGUAAAGAAGGCAGAACACGGCAAUGGGCAGGGCUUCCCCUAGGGAAGCUUUAAAGGAGGCUUUGUGUUCCAUCCGUGCACGCACAGGUGUUAGACACCGAGAGCACAUGAGGAUGGGCUGCCUCAGUCCCGCCCUCCUGCUGGGCCCACACUUAGUCAUGUGGCUCCUCCCACCACUCCCAGGAAGCCCACCUGAGCUCACCUACUUGUGCCCUCAGGAGCACGACCAGCCUUGCUGGUUUCCACAAGAAAAGCUCUGUGUCCCACCCCCUACUGCCACCCCUAACAAUCUUCUUUUUUUUUGGUACGCGGGCCUCUCACUGUCGCGGUCUCUCCCGUUGUGGCGUCUUCCCGGACCGGGGCACGAACCCACGUCCCCUGCAGCAGCAGGUGGACUCUCAACCACUGCGCCACCAGGGAAGCCCCUCACCCCCUAACAAUCUUAUCAACAAAGUCACCUUCCAGUGUUUCCCCCUUCCCUUUAUGUUAGUUCAUUCAUUCAUUAACACAAGCCACCGUCAGCUUCUGACAUUAGCCUCUUAUGUCACUUCCUGCUUCCACGUUUUCUGCCUACGUAGUCCAUUCUCUGUACAGCAACCAGAGGGGUGUGUGUGUGUGUUUACUCAUUGCGAAAAUUACUCACGUCCUGUGUUAGUUUCUUAGGGCUGCCAUAACAAAUUACCACAAAUUGGCAGCUUGAAAACAAUCGAAAUGUAUUGUCACACAGUUCAGGAGGCCAGAACUCCAAAAUCAACGUGUUGGCAGGAUUGGUUCCCUCUGGAGGCUCUGAGGAAGAGUCUUUCCCAGCCUGUCCCCUAACUUCUGGUGGCUGCUGGCGACCCUGGGAAUCCUCUCUUUUCUCUUCCAGCUUCUGGUGGUUGUUGGCAAUCCUCGGUGUUCCCUGGUUUGUAGACUCAUCACUCCAACCUUUGCCUCUAUCUUCACAUGGUCUUUCCCUGUGUCUGUGUGUCUCAAAUCUCCCUCUCCUUUGUCUUAUAAGGACACCCAUCAUUGGAUGUGGACCCACCCUAAGUCCAGAAUGAUCUCAUCUUAAGAUCCUUAAUUACAUCUACAAUGAUGCUCUUUCCAAAUAAGGUCACAUUCACAGGUACUGGGGGUUAGGAUUGGACAUAUCUUUGGAGGAGGACACAACCCAUGGCACCUCUGCUCCCCCUUGUCCCAGAGCACUCAAAACACAGAUUCCAAACCCUCUGUGAGGCCCUGCGUGGGGGGCCCCUGCCCAGCUCUCCCUGACUCUCCCCCAUACUGUGCCCCAACCGUGGUGAUGUUUUUUGGGUUUGUUUUUUUUUACAGUGGUUAAUAUCUAGAUCCUUGAAGUGACUUGGUGCAGUAAUUUAUAAGCCCAAAAUUGGUUGAACAGACUCAGAACGUGUAGCUUUCCAAAAUGCCAUCUGAGAGCUGUUGGUUAGGACCGUGCCCAAAUCACAUAGGGCUGGCAUGUGUACAUCCUUCCAGCCUUUCUUCUUUGUGGUUGUAUUUUUAUACUCCAGAUUGAUAGUGUUCAGGUUCUAAACGUGUUGCUUUCGAAUGUUCAUUAAGCUUUCUUUCAUAUAGAAAUACUUUAAAAAAUUGGGGGAAUUCCCUGGUGGUCCAGUGGUUAGGACUCGGAGCUUUCAUUGCUGUGGGCCCGGGUCCCAUCCCUGGUCGGGGAACUAAGAUCACACAGCCGCGCAGCAUGGCCAAAAAAACAUAAAAAUUUAAAAAACUUUUUUUUUUUUUUUUUUUUUUUUUUUUGCUGUACGCGGGCCUCUCACUGUUGUGGCCUCUCCCGUUGCAGAGCACAGGCUCUGGACGCGCAGGCUCAGCGGCCAUGGCUCACAGGCCUAGCCGCUCUGUGGCAUGUGGGAUCUUCCUGGACCGGGGCACAAACCCGUAUCCCCUGCAUCGGCAGGCGGACUGUCAACAACUGCGCCACCAGGGAAGCCCUAAAAACACUUUUAAAAAUUUGGAUUUUUAAAUUUUCAAGACACCAUUUUCAUUUUUUGUUUUAUUACUUAAAUGCGAGGUGCUACCUCUUUACAAGAGCUUAACAGCAUAUAAUUUCUCAUUUAAUUGCACAUGUCAGAUCCUCACUAUGUGCAGAACACUGUACUAGCUGUAGUGUGUGUGUGUGUGUGUGUGUGUGUGUGUGUGUGUGUGUUUGCAACAAACGUGAAUGCACAUCCACUCCCAAGGAGAUUUUAAUUAAAGAAUAUUAUAAAAUUCUUGAAAAAAUUCUUGAGGAUUUACUAUAUUAAAUUCUUUAAUAUACAAGGAUAAAGAUGGGUAUGUGUUUGAGGUGCCAAAUAAACAGCAAAAAGACUUGCUUGAAAAUAUGUCUUUUCCAGAAAUUGUACCUCCAAACUUUCCGUUGUUCCCUUGAAUCAUACUAAUAAUAAUUUGCUACUCACUGGGGCUUUUCAGUUUAUUUACUUUUCAUAAGGAAUUGGCAAAGUUUGAUAAGGUGAACAAAAGGUCUGGUCUCUAGAUUCCUGUUGUGGUUUUAAAAUGGAAGCAGGCAGACAUAGCAUAGCCUUUCUCCUAUUUUGCCUAUAGUUAACAUCAAUUCAUAAAUUAAUGACUUAAGUAGUAAUGUGUUAGAGUCAUUUUCCAACUGACCUAUAUCUAAAAUUACUGGUAAAAUUGUCUAGAAUAAUUUUUAUUCCGUAGUGCAUUGAAUACAAUCUUUUAAAGAUUCUAGCCAUAUAGAAGUAUGGAGAAUGAAAAAUUUUAUUGAAGUAUAGUUGUUACAAUGUGUUAAUUUCUGCUGUACAGCAAAGUGACUCAGUUAUACACAUAUAUAUUCUUUGUCAUAUUCUUUUCCAUUAUGGUUUAUCACAGGAUAUUGAGUAUAGGUCCCUGUGCUAUACAAUAGGACCUUGUUGUUUAUCCGUCCUAUAUAUAAUAGUUUGCGUCUGCUGACCCCAAACUCCCAAUCCUUCCCUCCCCCAACCCCCUUCCCCUUGACAACCACAAGCCUCUUCUCUAUGUUUAUGACUUUGUUUCUGUUUCAUAGAUAUGUUCAUUUGUGUCAUAUUUUAGAUUCCACAUAUAAGUGAUAUAUGAGAAUGAAUUUUGUAUCGCUACCCUCGUCUCCCUCUUUGCACCUCUCUCCUUAGUAGGCAUAAUCACCAUAUACAAUUCAGUGUUCAUAUUUUCAGUCCUAUUUGGGUUUGAUGGACUGAGCUGCAAUUAUUUUGGACAAAGAUUUUUUUUGUUUGUUUGUUUUUUGUUUUUUUAUAAAUUUAUUUUAUUUAUUUAUUUUUGGCUGCGUUGGGCCUUCAUUGCUGCGCGCUGGCUUUUCUCUAGUUGCGGCGAGCAGGGGCUUCUCUUCGUUGCGGUGCGCGGGCUUCUCAUGCGGUGGCUUCUCUUGUUGUGGAGUACGGGCUCUAGGCACGCGGGUUCAGUAGUUGUGGUGCACGGGCUUAGUUGCUCCACAGCAUGUGGAAUCUUCCCGGACCAGGGCUCGAACCCGUGUCCCCUGCAUUAGCUGGCGGACUCUCAACCACUGCGCCACCAGGGUAGCCCUUGGUUCUAGCUUUGACCGGGCUUGAAAAGACCAAAAGAGCAUUGGAAGCAGCGCCCCUCCCAGAUUAAAUAAAUUAUGCAGAUGUACAGAGGUGCUUUGUGAAGCAGUUUAUUCUGGUGAGUAGCGCUGGUGUCCUUCGUGUCAACAUCGAGCUCUGUGACCUUGGACAACUCCUGUCCCUUCUUGGAGUUUGGGUUUCUUCCUCUGCAAAACCAGGGGGUUGGACUAAGGUUGUCAAAGUUUUGCCGCCUUCCUCCGCUUGCGUUUCUACCUCAGUCCCUCCCUUAGCCUCUUAACUAUCCUCCACUGAGAUCCCAUGUCCCUGCCCCGCAGGUUCCCUCCGUGGCCAGUCACUUAACGAGCUGUCCUUCCACGUGUUUUGUCGUCGUUGUCCUUCUGCACUUCAAUCUCCCUCUCACCAUCGACCUGCUCUAUCUUUCUGUAUUAAUCCCCAAAGCUAAGUCACUCUCACACCCACCUUCUCUGCCAAGACUUGUGUCAUUGGUGGAAUUCACGAAACCAUGCUGCCUGGAUCUCUUAUAAACUUACCAACCCAGCUGAACCGUAUCCAACCUCACUGCUGCCUGACACCCUCUCACUGCUUCUCUAUCAUCCUGUUUUCAUCACCGUUCGUCCAGCUCACUCCCUUCCUCUUCCUCUCCUGCUCUGCAGAUGACCUCACCUCCUUCCUGUUUACCUAAAGGGAAGACCAGCCUGUUUGCCACUUGCUCAUACCCUCCGAGAGUCUCUUCUUCCUGCACAUCUGAAAAGAGGCCCCUUUCCUUGAUAAAACAAACCCCCUUGUCUGCUGUGUCUACCAUUUUCUGAACUUUUCUACAAGAUAUUUGUGGAGCGUGUGUGUGCAUUUUAAGUGAAGGGUUACACUAAGAUUUCCCCAUUCUGUUACUCUUCUGUAUUUCCAGGUCCUCACUAGCUCACCCCUUUCUGCCUACAAACAUGUUCGGAUCUCUAAUCCUAAAGAAAAAGUUCUCGACUCUGCUCUCUACCCCCCACUCCACCCCCAGUUCUCUCUUUCUCCCUUUGUGAUCUCGCUCUUAUCAUUGACUUUUGAAGCUCACACACGCCCUCCCGGCCACCAAAGACCGGUCAUGUCUCCGUUCUUGUCAUCCUCACCGCUCUGAAACAGCUAAUGCCGGCAACCUGCCCUAAAAACCACCUCCUUCCUUUAACCACUGUUUGGCUGGGCUGCCCUGGCCCCCUCUCUGCCUCUUAGUGUGGCAUCACCACACCCUGACCUUGGCUCCCACUCCCAGGCUUCAUCUCCUUUUUUUUUUUUUUUUUUGCAGCACAUGGGCCUCUCACUGUUGUGGCCUCUUCCGUUGCGGAGCACAGGCUCCAGACACGCAGGCCCAGCGGCCAUGGCUCACGGGCCUAGCCGCUCCGCAGCGUGUGGGGUCUUCCCGGACCGGGGCACGAACCUGUGUCCCCUGCAUCGGCAGGCGGACUCUCAACCACUGCGCCACCAGGGAAGCCCUCAUCUCCUUUUGUCAGUGACUCCUACACCUGGUCCUCACCAUUACCUGCCAGCCCCUCCUGACUGCUUAGCACCAGCCGGGCUCUCACCACGGUCCCAACCACACAUCCACAGGCCCACCAGUCCCUCAUGCUCCGUAUCUCCAAAACCAAACUGCUGCUCGCUUUGUUUCCUCACUUACAUUUAACUGAAACCUGAAAUUCCAUUGUUAGCCUUAACGCAUUUCUUCUCAUGAGGUACUUUUCUUCUUUCUCUUUGAUUCUUGAGCAGUGUUUCAGGAUGAUGAAAUUAAUGGGAAUGAGUGAGGAAGUAAGAAGCUAGGGCAAGCAGGACAUGGGAAGCCAUGCAUCAAGGAAUAGGCAGUGUCCUCGUUGAGGGCUCAAGCUCCGGUCCUGGGGUUUAAAUCCUGACUCCACCACUUACUAGCUGUGUGACCUAGGGGAAGUCACUUGACCUCUCUGUGCCUUAAUUACCCCACCUAUAA